GACGAACGCUGGCGGCGUGCUUAACACAUGCAAGUCGAACGGAAAGGCCCUGCUUUUGUGGGGUGCUCGAGUGGCGAACGGGUGAGUAACACGUGAGUAACCUGCCCUUGACUUUGGGAUAACUUCAGGAAACUGGGGCUAAUACCGGAUAGGAGCUCCUGCUGCAUGGUGGGGGUUGGAAAGUUUCGGCGGUUGGGGAUGGACUCGCGGCUUAUCAGCUUGUUGGUGGGGUAGUGGCUUACCAAGGCUUUGAAGGGUAGCCGGCCUGAGAGGGUGACCGGCCACAUUGGGACUGAGAUACGGCGCAGACUGCUACGGGAGGCAGCAGUGGGGAAUAUUGCACAAUGGGCGGAAGCCUGAUGCAGCAACGCCGCGUGCGGGAUGACGGCCUUCGGGGUGUAAACCGCUUUCGCCUGUGACGAAGCGGGAGUGACGGUAAUGGGUAAAGAAGCACCGGCUAACUACGUG
rnacentral:rRNA from 1 species